GACAGAGGGUGCAAACGUUGUUCGGAUUUACUGGGCGUAAAGCGCGUGUAGGCGGCUUGGCAAGUUGGAUGUGAAAGCCCACGGCUCAACCGUGGAAGCGCAUCCAAAACUGCUUCGCUCGAGUCUCGGAGAGGAAGGUGGAAUGCUUGGUGUAGAGGUGAAAUUCGUAGAUAUCAAGUGGAACACCAGUGGCGAAGGCGAGUCCCUGGACAACUCCUGACACUGAGGCACGAAAGCUAGGGGAGCAAACGGG
rnacentral:rRNA from 1 species